rnacentral:rRNA from 1 species
GACGAACGCUGGCGGCGUGCUUAACACAUGCAAGUCGAACGGAAAGGCCCUGCUUUUGUGGGGUGCUCGAGUGGCGAACGGGUGAGUAACACGUGAGUAACCUGCCCUUGACUUUGGGAUAACUUCAGGAAACUGGGGCUAAUACCGGAUAGGAGCUCCUGCUGCAUGGUGGGGGUUGGAAAGUUUCGGCGGUUGGGGAUGGACUCGCGGCUUAUCAGCUUGUUGGUGGGGUAGUGGCUUACCAAGGCUUUGACGGGUAGCCGGCCUGAGAGGGUGACCGGCCGCAUUGGGACUGAGAUACGGCCCAGACUCCUACGGGAGGCAGCAGUGGGAAUAUUGCACAAUGGGCGGAAGCCUGAUGCAGCAACGCCGCGUGCGGGAUGACGGCCUUCGGGUUGUAAACCGAUUUCGCCUGUGACGAAGCGUGAGUGACGGUAAUGGGUAAAGAAGCACCGGCUAACUACGUG